rnacentral:rRNA from 1 species
AUGACCGCGUUGGCGCAGGGUGAUGGUUGGUUUGGUGGCUGGAUCCGGAGCGCCAAAGGUGCGGGUUGGGAUCGAGGGAAACCCCUGUCGGCGGGGCCGACACAGACGCGGUGGCGCCUGUGGGUGCCACCUGACCUUCCGGGAGGGCGUCAUGGGCUACCCUUCCUCUCGCCUCGUCGUGUACCGUGGGAAACCCUUGGCAGCAGCGUCAUCAUCAUCGCGAUCCUUCUUGGAGGUGUUGAUAGGUGCCGCCGCUUCGGAGUCUUGGAGUCUAGUGGAAGAUCCCGGUGGGCGCUGCGAUCGCGAGGCUUCUUCGUUUUUGUUGAUCCGCCAUUGUCGGCAUUUGUUUUCUUUUGUUCUUUCUCUAUCGUUUUUUUUGGCGUGACUGUGCUGCUUCCGCCCCAGCACAUAUUCAUGUAUGGUUUGGUUGGUUGCUUUGUAUACAAAGCGGGGAAACCCUUUUUCGGUAUUCCAGAGUAG